AUAGAGACAAAGCCCUGAAGAAUACCUACGGUGCGUUUCCUGUCUCCAUCUUCCAAGAGUCUGAAGAUGAACACUCUGCAUAAACGCUGGCUUACUGUAGUCACUCUCCUUUGCUGUCUGGGUGUGUUUCUCAGCCAUUUUGAAGGUGUGGAUGCACACAUUGCCCCUAAAUUCCCUGGUGAAGGUGCUUCAGUGGAUGAACUGGUGCAGUUUUACAAUGAAGUCCAGCAAUUUCUCAACUCAGCCAACCGGCUCAGAUACGGUAAACGAUCCAGCGAUCAGAAAGGGUGCGGAGAUUCAAAUGCUAAUUUGGACUGCUACACAUGAAAAGAACUUAUCUUCAAUGGACAAGAUCAAGGAGACCACGAAAAAGUAACCACUACAAAUCUUGACAACUUUUUGAUUUUGCUGGCAAUCCUCUUCUUGUUCCACUGAUGUCCUUCUUCCAAGAACAUAUUAUUCUUUUAUGUAGCCUAUAUUUUCUCUUCAUCAA